GCAUACAUAAUACAGAAAACUCUGAUUCUUCGACACCGCAAUAUCAACCACAUAGCAAUGACAAUAUUCUAGACCAGAGUAGUUCUACAAUUUUAUGGAUAUGCAAUCGGGUAAAUUAUUUUUAAAAAAAAACCAUUCUUACUACUACCAAGUACAAGGGCAAUUGCAUAUAACAAACAGAAAAUAUUGCUACUUUGUUGUAUGGACACCAAAAGGGAUUUGUGUACAUAAAAUUGAACGUGAUGAUGUAUUCUGGAAUAAUAAGAUGGAGAUGACGUUGUCAGAAUUCUACCUGGACCAUAUGUUGCCAGAAAUAUGUAAUCCACAAUAUUUAAAAACAUAAAAAACUUACGACGUUCCUACUCAUUUUUUAAUCUUUUAUAUUUUUAAUUUUAUU